rnacentral:rRNA from 1 species
CAGUCGCCGCGGUAAUACGUAGGGUGCGAGCGUUAAUCGGAAUUACUGGGCGUAAAGCGUGCGCAGGCGGUUCGUUAAGACAGAUGUGAAAUCCCGGGCUUAACCUGGGAACUGCAUUUGUGACUGGCGAGCUAGAGUAUGGCAGAGGGGGGUAGAAUUCCACGUGUAGCAGUGAAAUGCGUAGAGAUGUGGAGGAAUACCGAUGGCGAAGGCAGCCCCCUGGGCCAAUACUGACGCUCAUGCACGAAAGCGUGGGGAGCAAACAGGAUUAGAUACCCCAGUAGUCCCUGUCUCUUAUACA